CCUACGGGUAGCAGCAGUGAGGAAUAUUGGUCAAUGGACGAGAGUCUGAACCAGCCAAGUAGCGUGAAGGAUGACUGCCCUAUGGGUUGUAAACUUCUUUUAUAUGGGAAUAAAAUGUUCCACGUGUGGGAUUUUGUAUGUACCAUAUGAAUAAGGAUCGGCUAACUCCGUGCCAGCAGCCGCGGUAAUACGGAGGAUCCGAGCGUUAUCCGGAUUUAUUGGGUUUAAAGGGAGCGUAGGUGGAUUGUUAAGUCAGUUGUGAAAGUUUGCGGCUCAACCGUAAAAUUGCAGUUGAAACUGGCAGUCUUGAGUACAGUAGAGGUGGGCGGAAUUCGUGGUGUAGCGGUGAAAUGCUUAGAUAUCACGAAGAACUCCGAUUGCGAAGGCAGUUCACUGGACUGCAACUGACACUGAGGCUCGAAAGUGUGGGUAUCAAACAGGAUUAGAUACCCGAGUAGUC
rnacentral:rRNA from 1 species